rnacentral:rRNA from 1 species
UACAGAGGGUGCGAGCGUUGUCCGGAAUCACUGGGCGUAAAGGGCGCGUAGGUGGCGCGGGAAGUCAACGGUGAAAGUUCGGGGCUCAACCCUGAAUCGGCCGUCGAUACUCCCGGGCUCGAGCACUGUAGAGGCAGAUGGAAUUCCGGGUGUAGCGGUGGAAUGCGUAGAGAUCCGGAAGAACACCGGUGGCGAAGGCGGUCUGCUGGGCAGUUGCUGACACUGAUGCGCGACAGCGUGGGGAGCAAACAGG